AUUGAAUGCUGGCGGCAUGCCUUACACAUGCAAGUCGAACGGUAACAGGUUAAGCUGACGAGUGGCGAACGGGUGAGUAAUACAUCGGAACGUGCCCAGUAGUGGGGGAUAGCCCGGCGAAAGCCGGAUUAAUACCGCAUACGACCUAAGGGUGAAAGGGGGGGAUCGCAAGACCUCUCGCUAUUGGAGCGGCCGAUGUCAGAUUAGCUAGUUGGUGGGGUAAAAGCUCACCAAGGCGACGAUCUGUAGCUGGUCUGAGAGGACGACCAGCCACACUGGGACUGAGACACGGCCCAGACUCCUACGGGAGGCAGCAGUGGGGAAUUUUGGACAAUGGGCGCAAGCCUGAUCCAGCCAUGCCGCGUGCGGGAAGAAGGCCUUCGGGUUGUAAACCGCUUUUGUCAGGGAAGAAAUCCUUUGGGUUAAUACCUCGGGGGGAUGACGGUACCUGAAGAAUAAGCACCGGCUAACUACGUG
rnacentral:rRNA from 1 species